rnacentral:rRNA from 1 species
AUUGAACGCUAGCGGGAUGCUUUACACAUGCAAGUCGAACGAGUGGCGGACGGGUGAGUAAUAUAUCUGAACGUGCCCAGUAGCGGGGGAUAACUACUCUAAAGAGGGGCUAAUACUGCAUACUCUUGGAGCGGCCGAUAUCGGAUUAGCUAGUUGGUGGGGUAAAGGCCCACCAAGGCAACGAUCCGUAGCUGGUUUGAGAGGACGAACAGCCACACUGGAACGGAGCUGCGGCCCGGACUCCUACGGGAGGGAGCAGUGGGGAAUGUUGGAUAAGGGAGGAAACCCUGAUCCGACCCAGCCGAGUGUAUGGAAAGGCCAUGGGGUAGGAAAGGACUUUUGGCAGAGAAGCGGUAUCAUAUGAAUAAGCACCGGCUAACUACGUGCCAGCAGCCGCGGUAAUUC